rfam:Roseovarius tolerans strain EL-164 ROTO_contig000007, whole genome shotgun sequence.
UCGCCGAUGCCAAGCUGCCCGACAUGCAAGCCGGGUGGGAACAGGCGAUGUCGAAUGUCAUGGCCGGGCUCUCGGGCCUCAACAUGGUCUACGAGGCGG